UACGUAGGGCGCAAGCGUUGUCCGGAAUUAUUGGGCGUAAAGGGCGCGUAGGCGGCUCUGCACGUUCGUUGUGAAAUCGCCCGGCUCAACUGGGCGGGGUCAGCGGAUACGGCAGAGCUUGAGCAAGCUAGGGGGCAAUGGAAUACCCGGUGUAGCGGUGGAAUGCGUAGAUAUCGGGAGGAACACCAGUGGCGAAGGCGGUUGCCUGGGGCUUUGCUGACGCUGAUGCGCGAAAGCGUGGGGAGCGAUCCGG
rnacentral:rRNA from 1 species